AUGCUCACUUCUGCAGCACAAACACUAAAAUUGGAAUGAUACAGAGAAGAUUAGCAUGGCCCUCGCACAAGGAUGAUAUGCAAAUUUGUGAAGCAUUUCAUAUUUUU